rnacentral:rRNA from 1 species
AACUCCGUGCCUAAUACAUGCAAGUCGAGCGGACAGAAGGGAGCUUGCUCCCGGAUGUUAGCGGCGGACGGGUGAGUAACACGUGGGUAACCUGCCUGUAAGACUGGGAUAACUCCGGGAAACCGGAGCUAAUACCGGAUAGUUCCUUGAACCGCAUGGUUCAAGGAUGAAAGACGGUUUCGGCUGUCACUUACAGAUGGACCCGCGGCGCAUUAGCUAGUUGGUGGGGUAAUGGCUCACCAAGGCGACGAUGCGUAGCCGACCUGAGAGGGUGAUCGGCCACACUGGGACUGAGACACGGCCCAGACUCCUACGGGAGGCAGCAGUAGGGAAUCUUCCGCAAUGGACGAAAGUCUGACGGAGCAACGCCGCGUGAGUGAUGAAGGUUUUCGGAUCGUAAAGCUCUGUUGUUAGGGAAGAACAAGUGCGAGAGUAACUGCUCGCACCUUGACGGUACCUAACCAGAAAGCCACGGCUAACUACGUGCCAGCAGCCGCGGUAAUACGUAGGUGGCAAGCGUUGUCCGGAAUUAUUGGGCGUAAAGGGCUCGCAGGCGGUUUCUUAAGUCUGAUGUGAAAGCCCCCGGCUCAACCGGGGAGGGUCAUUGGAAACUGGGAAACUUGAGUGCAGAAGAGGAGAGUGGAAUUCCACGUGUAGCGGUGAAAUGCGUAGAGAUGUGGAGGAACACCAGUGGCGAAGGCGACUCUCUGGUCUGUAACUGACGCUGAGGAGCGAAAGCGUGGGGAGCGAACAGGAUUAGAUACCCUGGUAGUCCACGCCGUAAACGAUGAGUGCUAAGUGUUAGGGGGUUUCCGCCCCUUAGUGCUGCAGCUAACGCAUUAAGCACUCCGCCUGGGGAGUACGGUCGCAAGACUGAAACUCAAAGGAAUUGACGGGGGCCCGCACAAGCGGUGGAGCAUGUGGUUUAAUUUCGAAGCAACGCGAGAACCUUACCAGGUCUUGACAUCCUCUGACAACCCUAGAGAUAGGGCUUUCCCUUCGGGGACAGAGUGACAGGUGGUGCAUGGGUCGUCAGCUCGUGUCGUGAGAGUUGGGUUAAGUCCCGAGAGCGCACCCUGAUCUAUUGCCAGCAUUCAGUGGCCUCUAGAGCCGGACAAGGGGGAUGAUCAAUCAUCAGCCCUGACGGGACCCGUGCCUAAAGCAGAACGACUCUUUUUGGA